rnacentral:SRP_RNA from 1 species
GCUGGGUGUGGUGGUGUACACCUGUAGUCCUAGUUACUUGGGAGGCUGAGGUGGGAGGAUCACUUGAGCCCAGAAGUUCAAGGCUGCAAUGAGCUAAAAUUGCAGUACUGCACUCCAGCCUGGGCAACAGAGUGAGACCCCAACUCAA